rnacentral:rRNA from 1 species
GGUAUUAUUUGUACACAUAUAUCCACCAGGGAAUUACAAGCACCAGUUUAAAACCCAAAGGACUUGGCGGUGCUUUAUAACCAUCUAGAGGAGCCUGUUCUAGAACCGAUAACCCCCGUUAAACCUCACCUUCUCUUGCCUUUUCCGCCUAUAUACCACCGUCGUCAGCUUACCCUUUGAAGGAUAUAAAGUGAGCAAAAAUAGUAUAACUCAAAACGUCAGGUCGAGGUGUAGUUUAUGAGGAGGGAAGAAUGGGCUACAUUUGUCAAAUAGACAUAUAACGAAUAAUUAUAUGAAAUAAUGA